GCCUUCAUGAUGUAGUGGUCAGCAUGCUGGGCGCAUAUUCCAAAGGUCCGUGGUUCGAAUCCCGGCGAAGGCA
rfam:Stegodyphus mimosarum contig51616, whole genome shotgun sequence.